rnacentral:rRNA from 1 species
CGAUAGUGAACCAGUACCGUGAGGGAAAGGCGAAAAGAACCCCGGCGAGGGGAGUGAAAAAGAACCUGAAACCGUGUACGUACAAGCAGUGGGAGCACAGGUUUACCUGUGUGACUGCGUACCUUUUGUAUAAUGGGUCAGCGACUUAUAUUCUGUAGCAAGGUUAACCGAAUAGGGGAGCCGGAGGGAAACCGAGUCUUAACCGGGCGUUAAGUUGCAGGGUAUAGACCCGAAACCCGGUGAUCUAGCCAUGGGCAGGUUGAAGGUUGGGUAACACUAACUGGAGGACCGAACCGACUAAUGUUGAAAAAUUAGCGGAUGACCUGUGGCUGGGGGUGAAAGGCCAAUCAAACCGGGAGAUAGCUGGUUCUCCCCGAAAGCUAUUUAGGUAGCGCCUCGUGAAUUCAUCUCCGGGGGUAGAGCACUGUUUCGGCUAGGGGGCCAUCCCGGCUUACCAACCCGAUGCAAACUGCGAAUACCGGAGAAUGUUAUCACGGGAGACACACGGCGGGUGCUAACGUCCGUCGUGAAGAGGGAAACAACCCAGACCGCCAGCUAAGGUCCCAAAGUCAUGGUUAAGUGGGAAACGAUGUGGGAAGGCCCAGACAGCCAGGAUGUUGGCUUAGAAGCAGCCAUCAUUUAAAGAAAGCGUAAUAGCUCACUGGUCGAGUCGGCCUGCGCGGAAGAUGUAACGGGGCUAAACCAUGCACCGAAGCUGCGGCAGCGA